rnacentral:rRNA from 1 species
UGGGGAAUAUUGCACAAUGGGCGCAAGCCUGAUGCAGCAACGCCGCGUGAGGGACGACGGCCUUCGGGUUGUAAACCUCUUUUAGUAGGGAAGAAGCGAAAGUGACGGUACCUGCAGAAAAAGCACCGGCUAACUACGUGCCAGCAGCCGCGGUAAUACGUAGGGUGCGAGCGUUGUCCGGAAUUAUUGGGCGUAAAGAGCUCGUAGGCGGUCUGUCGCGUCUGCUGUGAAAACCCGAGGCUCAACCUCGGGCCUGCAGUGGGUACGGGCAGACUAGAGUGCGGUAGGGGAGAAUGGAAUUCCUGGUGUAGCGGUGGAAUGCGCAGAUAUCAGGAGGAACACCGAUGGCGAAGGCAGUUCUCUGGGCCGUAACUGACGCUGAGGAGCGAAAGCGUGGGGAGCGAACAGGAUUAGAUACCCUGGUAGUCCACGCCGUAAACGUUGGGCGCUAGAUGUGGGGACCAUUCCACGGUUUCCGUGUCGCAGCUAACGCAUUAAGCGCCCCGCCUGGGGG